rnacentral:rRNA from 1 species
GACGAACGCUGGCGGCGUGCUUAACACAUGCAAGUCGUACGGUAAGGCCCUUUCGGGGGUCCACGAGUGGCGAACGGGUGGGUAACACGUCCUUAACCUGCCCACAACUUUGGGAUAACGCUAGUAAACUGGUGCUCAUCCUGUAUAUGUGCUCCUUCUCCAUGGUGGGGGUUGGAAAGCUCCGGCGGUUGUGGAUGGACUCGCGGCCUAUCAGCUUGUUGGUGGGGUAGUGGCCUACCAAGGCGGCUCCGGGUAGCCGGCCGUAGAGGGUGACCGGACACAAUGGGAAUGAGAUACGGCCCAGACCCCUACGGGAGGCAGCAGGGGGGAAGAGGGAACAAUGGGCGAAAGGCGGAAGCAGGAACGACGCGUGCGGGAUGACGGACUUAGGGUUGAAAACCGCAUAGAGCAGGGACGAAGCAUUAUGAGAAGGGACCUGGAAAAGAAGGACCGGCUAAAUACGUG